rnacentral:lncRNA from 1 species
CUUUUUAGGGAUGCGUACGAUUGGAAGGAGUAAAUGUCUAACACUAGCACAGUACUUAUCCGCUGCGCAUGUGAAAAAUUGUUUUGCCAAUUUAAACAGACAGACGGGGAACAUACAAUUAGACGCAAAACGCAAGUAGAUAGUCAAAAGAUGAAGAGUUCAUGUAAAAUGACUGAAACCAUGACUAUGUCAUAGCUAGUAUUUCAUAUACACUUUCACAAGCCUAUCAAAGGAAAAUUUUAUGUACACUUGUAACAGAAGAAGAGCUUUAAACAUCAUAUGGCCAACAAAAAAGCUGGGUGUAAAAAAAGACCAAGCCUAUAAAAAAGAAAAUUCUAUGUACAAUUGCAGAAGAAAAUGAGCUCUAAACAUGAUAUGCCCAACAAAAAAACUGGGCCAAAAAGAAAACAAAGAUGAUACAAGAAGAAAAAUGAUUAGUACAACAAUUGCCCGAGCAAGAAGGGUGCAGAUCGGCGCCAACCUGUGUCAAAACAUCCUAACACAUUACAUCAAAUAGCAAAUUUCUAGGAUAAUCUGUCACUCGACUUGCAGAAAAUUCAAGUCUGAAGUCACCAAAUGUUGGAUUAUUCAAGUCACACACAACUAAAACAAACAUGAAACAGAAAAUUGAAGUCUGAAGUCACCAAAUGUUGGAUUAUUCAAGUCACACACAACUAAAACAAACAUGAAAAAGAGGGUAAAAACUGAGACAUAACGUUCUAUUAGCAAUUCAAUCUUCACUAAGAGGUAAAGCCAUGUAAUAUAACAUGCUCUCUCAGACAGAGCUUCAAGGCAUUUUGAAGAUAUACCAUACUUC